CAAAGAUUAAGCCAUGCAAGUCUUAGUAUCAACUUUCAUUUAAAGUUAGACUGCGGACAGCUCAUUACAACAGUUAUGAGUUUAUGGAAGGGCAACGCCAUCAGGAUAACUGUGGCAAUUCUAGAGCUAAUACAUGUCCACCUCCAUGGGGUGUCUCCCAGCAGUGAAUGUCGGGAGACGCGUUAACAUUAGUUAGCACAAACCCAAGCUUGUCCUCGAGACAAGCACCCUUUGGUAGGUUUCUGAGCUAUCAACUUUUGAUGGUAGGGUCAAGGCCUACCAUGGUAUUGACGGCAACGGGGAAUUGGGGUUCGAUUCCGGAGAGGGAGCCUGAGAGACAGCUACCACAUCCAAGGAAGGCAGCAGGCGCCCAAAUUAACCAAUCCAGACACUGGGAGUUAGUGACGAGGAGUGGCGGCUAGAGGCCCAACGGGUCUUUGUGCAGCAAAACUGGAGAACUAAAGUAUCUUUAGCAAAUUAGAGGACAAGUCUGGUGCCAGCACCUCCGGUAAUUCCAGCUCUAAUAGUGUAUAUUAAAGUUGUUGCGGUUAAAGGGCCCGUCGUCAGGGCAAACUUUAUUACCACCCUUGAGGAAACCCGAGGGCUCCAGCGGGAGUAUUUUUAGCUUGAAGGAAUUAACAUGCCAGUGGAAUGUGUGGAUCAGUACUUUAUAGUGCUUUCCCCAGAGUCAGAUAAGGGCAGUCUCGAGGCCAUUUGUAUCCACGGGCGAGAGGUGAAAUUCUUAGACCCCGCGGAGACAAGCAAAGGCGAAGGCAAUUGGCCAGGAUGCACUUUUUGAUUAGUGGACGAAAGUUGAGGGAGCAAAGGCGAUUAGAUACCGCUGUAGUCUUGACCGUAAACGAUGCCAGCCGGGUUUUUACCUAAUUGCUGGAGAAUCAUUGGAGACGACUGAACGUCUCCAGGGACUAUUCUGUCCCUUCCGGUGGACCCAAUGAGAAAUCAUUAAGCAAGGCCCCGGGGGGAGUAUGGUCGCAAGGCUGAAACUUGAAGGAAUUGACGGAAGAGCACACCAGAAGUGGAUUGUGCGGCUUAAUUUGACUCAACACGGGGAAACUUACCAGGUCCAGACAGACAGAGGAUUGACAGGCUGAAUUUCAUUCAAGAUAGUCUGAGAGGUGGUGCAUGGCCGCUCAUAGUUGGUGGAGUGAUUUGUCAGGUUUAAUCCGGUAACGAACGGGAUGGGGGACUAUUUAAUUGUGACACCCCAGAUCAAACUGGGGGGAAGUGCCCCGCAAUAACAGGUCAGUGAUGCCCUUGGAAGUCCUGGGCGGCACGCGCGCUACAAUGAGAGACGCGGCAGGAAAUAACCAUUUGGUGGCAGGGCUGCAGAGCACUUGCAACGCCAUUAAAGUCAUUUCAAGGUGGGGAUUGUUGGUUGGAAUUUUUCAACAUGAACAAGGAAUUUCUUGUAAGCAGGUGUCAUCAGCAGAUGUUGACUACGUCCCUGUUCUUUGUACACACCGCCCGUCGUUAGUUGUGAUGGGCCGAGGGUUGAGAGUGUCAGAGUUUGUCAGCUUUCUGUCUGCGAGCAAAGGCACUCAAAGCCUUUAGCCUAGAGGAACUAAAAGUCGCAACA
rnacentral:rRNA from 1 species